CUUUGUGCCAGUGCCCCAGCAAGCUGCCACCAUGGCUGCCAAGCCCUGUCACCCUUGCUGAUCAGUACAGAGAGGGGCUCGCUGCGCUGGGUAGAGGAAGCAGGAAGUUUGCUGAACUCAGACGGAAGAAAAAGGAUUCCUCUGGAGAAUCCCAGCAGGUUUCUGAUUGGACAUGGGUCCAUGUCCUUGUGAAGUCUCCUCCUCCUGAACCUGCCCUGCUCUGUGACUUGCUUUUGACCACCAGCAUGCUGCAGAAGUGAUGCCGUGUGACUUCUGAGUGGGUCAUAGGAAGCCUUGCAGUGUGGCCUGGGUCUUCAGGAAUGCUUGUUUGAGGAAAACCACUGUCAUGUAAGAAGUAUGGCUACCCUGAGACUGUCAUGGUGUGAGGACUCCUAAAUGAGUCACAUGUGGAUGGCCACCUAUUCAGGCCUCAGUUCUUCCAGCCAUUGCGACUGUGGCCCACGCAUGUGGGGGAAGAGGCCAUUUUUCACGCCCAUCCCAGUUGAGUCUUUAGAUGAUCCCUUCCUGGGCCUCCAGCUGACUGUAACCAGACUCCAGGCAGGAACCACAUAGGAACUGAACCCAGUCAACCCACAGGCUGGGGAGGAUGAUAGUCCAUUGUUGUAUAAAGCCACUGCAUUUGGAAUGGUCUGUUGUAUACUACCUAAUCAGAACAAGACUCAAUCCUUUCUUCAUAGCUGGUAGUCUUAAGCAUUUAUUAAUUCAUAUUUUAGUCACAUUAUGAAUUUUCUAUCACAAUAAGCAUUUAUUGAGCACUUUUUAUAGAGGGACUAUGCUAGGCUUGAAGAAUAAAAGACACAUAGGACACGGCCCUGCUUAUGUUCAGGUAGCUGUGGUCUAAACGAGGACGCACACAUAAGGUGAAGACCCCAUGAGAUGGAAUACACGGGGAUAACAAGCCUCACAGUGGACUGGUCGCUUUACCAGGGGUGAGGCGAUUCUGCCUAUAAGGUAGGGAAGGACUUUCUGAAAGGGUGACACUGAGUUCCACCUUGAAAAAUGCCUGAGAAUUCACCCAUAGACACAGUGGAAGAGGGGUGUUCCGAGGAAGGGAGAUCAAUGUGCAGAGAGACAGAAAUCCCGGUUCGCUUAUUCCCAACAAGGCAGAGAACAAACCUCUCCCAGUGAUGCCCUCCCUUGUUCCCGUCCCCAAUCUUUUGAUAAUAGUGGGAAGGGUUUCAAAGUGAGGGUUAAAAAUGGGCUGGUUUUGCCACCCCUUAGUAAGUCUUGGGCAGGAUUCUCAACUCUUGACACUCAUUAAAAUCACCUGGGAAGCUUUUGCAAAACUCCAGCAUGGUACAACUACUUUAGAAACUGGUGUUAUCCAUUAAAACUAAACAUUUGCUUAUCUUAGCAAUUCCACUCCUAGGUUUAUAGAGUAAACAGAAACACAUACGUGCCUGUGUCAAAAAACAUGUAUAGGCAUGUUCAAGACCACACUGUUUGGCCAAGUGCCCUAGUUCAUGCCUGUAAUCCCAGCAUCUUGGGAGGCCAAGGCGGGAGUAUUGCUUGAGGCCAGGAGUUUGAGACCAGCCUGGGCAUCAUAGUGAGACUCCCAUCUUGACACACACACAGUUUUUUUUUUUAAUUAGCUGGGUGUGGUGGCGUGCACCUGUAGUCCUAGCUACUUGGGAGGCUGAGGUGAUAGGAUCCCUUGAGCCCAGAAGUUCAAGGCUGAAAUGAGCUAUGAUUGUGUCACAGCACUCCAGUAUGGGCAACAGAGAGAUCCUAUGUCCAAAACAAAAACAAAAACAAAACAAAAAUACACACAUUAUUUGUAAGAUGUAAAAAAAGGGAACAAUCCAUGUGUAUCAAUAGAAUAGUUAUAUGCUGUGUAUGCGUAAUUAGUGUCUUAACCUGUUCAGGCUGCUGAAUACCUCAACUGGGUAAUUUACAAACAACAGAAUUUAUGGCUCAUGGUUCUAGAGGCUAGGUAGUCUAAGAUGCAAACGUCAACAGAUUUGAUGUCUGGUAAGGCCCUGUUCAUCAUAGAUGGCACCCUUUUGCUGUGUCCUCACAUGGCAAAAGGGACAAACAGGAUUUUUUCAAGCCUCUUUUAUGAGGGUACUAAUUCCAUUUAUGGGGGGAGAGCCUUUGUAACCCAUUCACUUCCUAAAGCCCCCACCACUUAAUACUAUUGGAGAUUAGAUUUCAAUAUAUGAAAUUUGGGUGGGACACAAACAUUCAUACCAUAGCGGGCAGACAAUGUAAUACUAUACAGCAAUGAAAAGAAAUGAACAACAGCGACCCAGAACAACAUGAAUGAACUUUUUUUUUUUUUUUGACAGAGUCUUGCUCUAUUGCCCAGGCUGGAAUGCAGUGACACAAUCUUGGCCCAACCUCCACCUCUUGGGUUCAAGCAAUUCUCCUGCCUCCGCCUUCCGAGUAGCUGGGAUUACAGGCACACGCCACCAUGCCCAGCCAAUUUUUGUAUUUCUAGUAGAGAUGGGGUUUUGCCACGUUGAUCAGGCUGGUCUUGAACUCCUGACCUCGGGUGAUCCGCCUGCCUCAGCCUCCCAAAGUGCUGGGAUUGCAGGCAUGAGCCACUGCGCCAGGCCCAUGAAUGAAUCUUAAAAAUAAAAUAGUGAAUCAAGGAAGUCAGACACAAAGAGUACAUACUCUACGGCUGCAUUUCUAUAAAUAUCAAAAAGAGGCAAAACAAAUGUGUGGUGUUAGAAAUCAGGAGAGUGUUACUAUCCUGGGGAGGAAGGAGAAGACCUGAAGGAACUUGAGGGGGGCUUUGGCCUGCUGGUAGAGCUUUUUUUUUUUUUGUCUCGAUCUAGGUGGUAGUUACAUACGGAUAUUCACGUUGUAAAAGUUUGCCAAGGCUUUAAUGUAAUUAUCUG
rnacentral:lncRNA from 1 species